UACGAAGGGGCUAGCGUUGCUCGGAAUCACUGGGCGUAAAGGGUGCGUAGGCGGGUCUUUAAGUCAGGGUGAAAUCCUGGAGCUCAACUCCAGAACUGCCUUUGAUACUGAAGAUCUUGAGUUCGGAGAGGUGAGUGGAACUGCGAGUGUAGAGGUGAAAUUCGUAGAUAUUCGCAAGAACACCAGUGGCGAAGGCGGCUCACUGGCCCGAUACUGACGCUGAGGCACGGAAAGCGAUG
rnacentral:rRNA from 1 species